UCUUGUUUUUGUACUGAAAAUGCAUUGCAACUUGCAAGUUUCAAAAUCUCUCUCCCUCUCUUUCUCCCUGCGAAAUCAAAUGAACGACGGCGCAGUGCGGCAGUCUGCCGGAGGACAGCUCAAAAUCUCGAAAUCGACGUACGGGAUAUUCAACCACAGUGACCGAUCGAUCACCUUUUGGGAUAAGACGGUUCGUUCCUGAGAGUAGUGUUCAUGCACGGAGGUCCUGUGCUCGAUUGUUGCUUCCACGACGUUUUUCAGUGAGGUCUGUAGUUAUGAUGUUGGUGUUUUCUAUUUUACCUUGUGUUAAUUGGAUACAGUGCAUUGUUGAAUCAUCCUGAUUAGGUGAAUUAGUGAAUGCUUAUUCUAUUGCUUUUCUCUAGGAUCUGAUCUCAGUUUGGGGAAACUGCGAUAAUGUUUAUUCAGUUUCAGUGAUUUGGUUGAGAAAUAGUCAUCAUAACCAUCCAUGUCAUAUCGUUAUUUCUGAUUGAUGCAUAGUAUGUUAUUGUUUCAACACUAUCAGUUAUAAUAACAUUCUCGCUGGAAAAUUUGCCCCCCUGCAACGACGGAAGAGAGGAUAUAUUGGGAGACAUGAUCAUGCACCUGUUCGCUGUGUUGAAUACUCAUAUGCAACUGGUCAGUGUAAAUAUUUAUGGCAUUAAAAUUUUUUGAUUCUGGUCUAAGAUAUGAGCUAGUGGUAUAUUCGUUUGAAAUAUAAGGAGAUUCAAAGAAGCAGAUAAAAAAUAUUCUUAUGCAUUUCAGCUUUUAAGUAAGUUUUGGUGAACAUUGCAUCUUUUCGCUAUUCAACUCUUAUAUUUCUGAUUCUGUUCAAUAUGUUCCCCAUUGUUAAGCUACCAAAAAUGAUUAGUGAUAUGUUAUCUACUUUACUUUAGCAAUUAGUUACUCGGAUUUUAUUUUUGGCUUGUUGAGCUUUAACGAAAGCCAAGGUUAAACAUUCCAAAAGAGGAUUGUAUGUGAAACAUAUUGGUGGCUUUAUAGAAGUUUCUGCAUCGGAAAUUCAAUCACAUCAGUCCCGACUCAAUUUUAGCAUGGCUGGUUAAAGAAGGUGCAUGUUCACCUGUCUUUCCUUUUUGUAAAUGGAUCACCAAACUCUUCAAAAUAUUGUUAGUCAUUGAUUUUCCUCUUCAAAAUUGGUCCAACCUAUGUAUUUUAGUCGUUGAUGAUUAUGUGAGCCCUAUGAUAUGUUGAUUAGAAAUCUCAACAAUGGCAUUCUAUUAUUUCAGCUUAGAGUCGGUAUGUUUUGAAAGUUAGCUCCAGUACAAUUAUGUGAUUUUCUUGAAUGGAAUAAGGCAAGUGAUAACUAGUAGCUGGGAUGAAACCUUGAAAUGCUGGGAUCCUAGAGGUGCAAGUUAUCAGGAACAUACUCGUGUUGGAACUUAUACACAACCAGCUCCCUUGUUGGAACUGUUUAGCAGUAGCAAUUGUUGGAUGACAUGUGAAUGUUUAUGGCUUGCAAAACAUGUCUCGUUUCCAACAGAGGGAAUCUUCCUUGACGUAUGAAACUAGAUGUGUCCGGUGCUAUUCCAAUGUAACAGGUUUAUUUCUUAUCUCUACUUGCUGCUUCAUUCUACUGUUCUAGAGCUUAAUUUAAUGACUCAAUAUUGGACUUUCGGUUGCAAGGUUUCUGCUUCUUACUAUCUUUCAGCUAGUUUAUGUUCACUCUAAUGAUUGACACCAUAUUAGGGUCCGUUUUUUUAGCAUGUUUGACUCAAAACAACUACUAGUUGUAUCAAAUAUAUAUCCUCCUGGAGUCUCAGUAGUCCAAACAAAUUUACGAGUACAGUUCUCUUAGGUUUGAACUACAAAUCACCCAUCUAUACUUGCAGUUUUGUAAUAUCCCGUAGUUUCUGUAAAUGAGCUAAUUUGAUUCAAUAAUUAAAGAGUCGUCCAUCGUAAAUUUGGAAUUCACCAUAAAAGCCACAUUUACAUCACCAUCUUUAUGCAAAAACUUAAUGACACACAAAUAUUCUCUCAAAUCUUUCAUGACGAAUAUUAUUGAAUAUUUGGAACAUAUCUAAUGUCACUUUUGUUGUAAAUUGUAGGCGUAAAGUAAAAUUUACUUAUGGAAAUAGAAUGUAAGAGCUUCAACCCAUCAUUAGGUUUGGAUUAGCACUUGUGCUUUCAUCAAUUUUCUGAUUCCCUUUAUGCAUUGCUUGGCUGUUUUAUACAUGGAAUUUGUAGGCGUUCGAUUGAAGGUCAGGUUGCAAUGGAAAAUAUUUUGAUUUCUCUGAGGCCAGUCAGUCUAAGAAAUAUGUAAAUUUGCAUAUUCUGCUUGACACAAUCUUAAAAACUAAAAUUGAAGAAAAUAAAACUGUAGGUGUUAAUGACAUUUUUUUUGUCUCCAUUGUCGAACAGAAUAAAUUGUUGAAGAGUAGUUUAAGUCAGUGUAGAAGAUAUCUAUACAAUAAAGAGUAAGUGCUUUUUCAAGA